rnacentral:rRNA from 1 species
UACGUAGGGGGGCAAGCGUUGUCCGGAUUUAUUGGGCGUAAAGCGCACGCAGGCGGUCUUUUUAAGUUUCGAGUGACAGGUGGUGGCUCAACUGCCACAGGCCUUGGAAAACUGGAAGACUUGAGGACGAGAGAGGGACGCGGAAUUCCAGGUGGAGCGGUGAAAUGCGCAGAUAUCAGGAGGAACACCGGUGGCGAAGGCGGUUCUCUGGGCAUGUUCUGACGCUGAGGAGCGAAAGUGUGGGGAGCGAACAGG